UACGUAGGUGGCAAGCGUUGUCCGGAAUUAUUGGGCGUAAAGCGCGCGCAGGCGGUCCUUUAAGUCUGAUGUGAAAGCCCACGGCUCAACCGUGGAGGGUCAUUGGAAACUGGGGGACUUGAGUACAGAAGAGAAGAGUGGAAUUCCACGUGUAGCGGUGAAAUGCGUAGAGAUGUGGAGGAACACCAGUGGCGAAGGCGACUCUUUGGUCUGUAACUGACGCUGAGGCGCGAAAGCGUGGGGAGCAAAACAGG
rnacentral:rRNA from 1 species